GACGAACGCUGUCGGCGUGCUUAACACAUGCAAGUCGAACGGAAAGGCCCUGCUUUUGUGGGGUGCUCGAGUGGCGAACGGGUGAGUAACACGUGAGUAACCUGCCCUUGACUUUGGGAUAACUUCAGGAAACUGGGGCUAAUACCGGAUAGGAGCUCCUGCUGCAUGGUGGGGGUUGGAAAGUUUCGGCGGUUGGGGAUGGACUCGCGGCUUAUCAGCUUGUUGGUGGGGUAGUGGCUUACCAAGGCUUUGACGGGUAGCCGGCCUGAGAGGGUGACCGGCCACAUUGGGACUGAGAUACGGCCCAGACUCCUACGGGAGGCAGCAGUGGGGAAUAUUGCACAAUGGGCGGAAGCCUGAUGCAGCAACGCCGCGUGCGGGAUGACGGCCUUCGGGUUGUAAACCGCUUUCGCCUGUGACGAAGCGUGAGUGACGGUAAUGGGUAAAGAAGCACCGGCUAACUACGUGCCAGCAGCCGCGGUGAUACGUAGGGUGCGAGCGUUGUCCGGAUUUAUUGGGCGUAAAGGGCUCGUAGGUGGUUGAUCGCGUCGGAAGUGUAAUCUUGGGGCUUAACCCUGAGCGUGCUUUCGAUACGGGUUGACUUGAGGAAGGUAGGGGAGAAUGGAAUUCCUGGUGGAGCGGUGGAAUGCGCAGAUAUCAGGAGGAACACCAGUGGCGAAGGCGGUUCUCUGGGCCUUUCCUGACGCUGAGGAGCGAAAGCGUGGGGAGCGAACAGGCUUAGAUACCCUGGUAGUCCACGCUGUAAACGGUGGGUACUAGGUGUGGGGUCCAUUCCACGGGUUCCGUGCCGUAGCUAACGCUUUAAGUACCCCGCCUGGGGAGUACGGCCGCAAGGCUAAAACUCAAAGGAAUUGACGGGGCCCCGCACAAGCGGCGGAGCAUGCGGAUUAAUUCGAUGCAACGCGUAGAACCUUACCUGGGUUUGACAUGGAUCGGGAGUGCUCAGAGAUGGGUGUGCCUCUUUUGGGGUCGGUUCACAGGUGGUGCAUGGCUGUCGUCAGCUCGUGUCGUGAGAUGUUGGGUUAAGUCCCGCAACGAGCGCAACCCUUGUUCACUGUUGCCAGCACGUUAUGGUGGGGACUCAGUGGAGACCGCCGGGGUCAACUCGGAGGAAGGUGGGGAUGACGUCAAGUCAUCAUGCCCCUUAUGUCCAGGGCUUCACGCAUGCUACAAUGGCUGGCACAGAGAGUGGCGAGCCUGUGAGGGUGAGCGAAUCUCGGAAAGCCGGUCUCAGUUCGGAUUGGGGUCUGCAACUCGACCUCAUGAAGUCGGAGUCGCUAGUAAUCGCAGAUCAGCAACGCUGCGGUGAAUACGUUCCCGGG
rnacentral:rRNA from 1 species